rnacentral:lncRNA from 1 species
UGUGCUGCGACCCUGAGAAGGCCCGCGACAAGCUUUGCUGCAAAGGUCGCAAAGUUAUCAAAAGUAUUCAGAUUGUAGAUGACAUGCCUAAGAAGAAAGAGCCUGAGAAGGUCAAACCACCUGCUGAAAAACCAGCCGAUAAGCCUAAGCCACCUGCCGAGAAGCCAGCUGACAAGCCCAAACCACCUGCUGAAAAACCAGCCGAUAAGCCUAAGCCACCUGCUGAGAAGCCAGCUGACAAGCCCAAACCACCUGCUGAAAAACCAGCCGAUAAGCCUAAGCCACCUGCUGAGAAGCCAGCUGACAAGCCCAAACCACCUGCUGAAAAACCAGCCGAUAAGCCUAAGCCACCUGCUGAAAAGCCCAAACCACCUGCGGAAAAGCCAGCCGAAAAGCCCAAACCCAAGGACCCGGCCCCUGAACCGGCGCCAAUUUGUGGUCCGGUUCAUGGAUUUCCACCUAUGUACCCCAAUGGGCCAUGUUGUGGGUCUUGUGCCCAAGGGUAUGGUGGGGGUCCAUGCUACCAAGGGUUUGGACGGCCUGUUCCACCGCCACCUGGUCCAUGUUAUGAUUAUGGACGGCCUGUUCCAUGUUACGAUUACGGACGGCCUGUUCCACCUCCACCCGGUCCAUGUUACGAUUAUGGUUACGGUUACCGUGGGAGCAGAUGUUGUGUCAGCACUGAUUACUUUAGUGAAGAAAAUUCACAAGGUUGCACAAUCAUGUAAAGGUAGUGGGAUGUCAGUUU